UCCCAUCGAUCCUACCCGCCGCCGCACCCUGGCCCCUCCGCCCCCGCCCCCGCCCCUUCCAGAUCCAGCGAGCCGCCCGCCUCAGCCUCGCCGGCGACCUUCCCCUCUCGCGGAGGAGGGCCACCCGCGUCCCGCUACGUCAAGCUCACCAAGGACCAGGACGCCCCCGGCGAGGACAUCCGCCCCGGCGAGCUCAACCAGCCCGUCCACGUCCCCCAGCUCGAGGGCCGGAGGUGCGGCGAGUGCAGCCAGGUCCUCCCGGAGAGCUACGAGCCGCCCGCCGACGAGCCGUGGUCCAACGGGAUCUUCGGCUGCACCGACGACCCCGAGAGCUGGGCACAAUGCUGGAGCUGGUAGGCAAGCUAGCACCCAUGGAUUCGUGAACUGGCUUGGAUGUGUACUUGGUCGCCGGGGUUGGAUGAGGACGACGGUAACGAGGGUGACUAGUGAUGCGGCACGCCAAGCAGCAUCAGGGGAAGGGGGUCUCCUGCUCGAGGAGGCGGAGGAGUAGGGGCGCACCCAGCCGGCAGCCCUGUCGUGCUUGAGGGGGAGGGGCAAGAGGGGUCUGCUCCUCUGCUUCCAUUGCGACCGCGGCAGGAGCAACGUUGCUGAUGGCGACGGGUACGUGAUGGUGGCUAGUGUGGUGGACGACCUAGAAUAUGUGUCCUCGCAAGUGCACAUGCACCCAAGAUGAUCUGCUUUACACUUACAAUUCGUGUUGACUAAAUCCGAGCAAGUCUCCUGCCAGUUCCACCAUAAGUAACACUCUGCAGAUUCAGCUGGGAGUGCAGGAAAAGAAGAAGAUACAAAUGGAGUACUCAGAAUGGUUUGACAGCUGCAAGAGACGCCCAGAUCGUUUUUGUAUGUUUCUCUAUGCUUCUGUACCUAAACAGUACAUCUGCUGUUGUUGUUGACCGUGCAGUCUAAGAAACAACACCCACUUAUUCUCAUCCUUUGUACCUGAUUGUGUAUGUGAGGUGAACAAAAGUCAUGCAUUUGACCAGAUUUAUUAUGUUCUUGUUCUGGUCGACCGUGAGGAGGUUCUUACUGUUCGCUGACUCUAUUCUGUUUUGGUGGUGAUAUAACCUGGUUAUGAGGAAAAUGCCUCACCGGAACGUGGAUGGAACUGACGGGAGGUGGAUCCCUGCUCACCGACGCCAACCUCAUCCAUAUCAUUGUUGACGCCAUCAUUAACUGAUAGUAUGCUGUGCUGGUGAAGUUUUUUCGUUGCUGGGAUCAUUUGAACCUGGAUGUCAUGUGUUGUGUGAUCUGAGCCAUAUGGCAUAUUGUAAACUUUUUAUUGCUGUUCUUUAUGUACGAUGUUAUGAGAUGUACGUUUGAAAUGCUGCUUUGACAGCAGAAUUGUAUUCGUGUGUACAUGCUGCUUUGACAGCAAAAUUAUGAAUAUUUCUCAACAAUAUAUGAGUUAAAUAUCUGUUUUCCAAUUUUC